CCCAUAACGGCCCUGUAAUGGUUCUGUAACAGUUUUUUUUUAAAAUAAAAAUAAAAAAGGGCCGUAACGGCCGUUAUGACCUGUAUCAUAACAGUAACAGUGGUGGCCAUUACGGCCACCAUUACCAUUUUGGAACACAUUGGAUUCUUAUAAAUUGAUAAUGUUGUGUUUUUCCAUUAAAAGAAGAUGUUUUUUAAUAGUCGAUACUGGUAGACCCCACUUCAAUUCGUCAAAUUGUGCUUAAAUCUUGUGUUUUGAUCUCCAAAAUAGGUCUAAAUCUGGUUGAAAAUGGUUUUCUAGCCUUCACGUAUGCUUUGAAUGAAGAAAAUAAGCAAAAAAUGGGGAAAGGUUGAAACAAAAUUGCAGAAGGGGUUAUUUAUGCCCUUAUGACCAACAAUGGGCUAAAGUCCAAUUUUUUAAUAUGCUCAUUUCACCCAUCUCCCAUAUUGGCAACAGCCCAUAUGAUAUGUUUUUUGUGAACCAUGGUGGGUUUGCCUUGGGUUUGAAUUCUUGGCCUUUUUAGUAAAUGGGUCAGCUAUGGUAUCACUUCUUGGCCCACUUAGUGAACAGGUCGGGCCCGGCCCAAGACUGACACACUGCAACCCUUGUAAAAAAAAACAUUGUAUUCAUUACAGUGAUGAAUGUCCACACUCUGGUUCUUCAUAUCCAAACAGGCCCUUAUGAAAAUUUGUGGAAUUCUUUGGUGUAACUUUAGAAGGUGUUACAAGUCACUUGAUUAUACACUUGGUACUAAGAACCUUGUCAAAAACUAUGCAUAUUAGCUAUCCAUUGUUUUGGGGCAAAACUGUGUUGUGAGCCAUAAUUGAUGGACUGAUUUCUUAUCAUUCUAAUUUCACACAAUACAAGCAAUAAAAACACAAACCAUACAACCAAAUUUGACAAAGAGUUGGGUCCUUACUCAUGGCUCAGUGGUAGACGGAGUGCGUUUCAAUGUUGAGUUCAUGGGUUUGAGCACCCAUGUGGUGUGUGGGUGCGAGUGUAUAUAUAAAAUAAAAAAAAAAAGAGUUAGGACAAAGAGGAGUCUUGCUGUACUAAGUUUGGGCGGCAUCAUCUUAUGACUUCAAGGUAUUGGUAGUAGUAGGAUCUUAUGGAGCAAACAGCCUACAAAUAAAAGGGAUGAAUGUGGUAACCAAACGGAAGACGGAGACUGAAUAGAUACCUGAGUAAAUGCAAUUGGCAGGCAAGUAAAGGAACAAAAUCUUUUAACAAAGAAGAUAUGACAAGGGAGUGAUAGUGUUAAGUGAUUAGAAACCACCUUCAUGAUUGAACGAUACAAGAAAAUAUGAGAUGCAAAGUGGAGAAGAUUAAUAAGGAGAAAUCAAUUUCAUUUAGUUCUCUAAGUGGAAGAUACAAAAGGGAUUUUAUUUUUUUAUUUUUUUUUUGAAGAUUGGAAAUUUUAUUAAAGGGAUCAAAAGCAACCCAAAAAGGAAAAAGCUAAUAAAAAAAAAAAAAACAAACUAUUGACAUGUAUCAAUGAUAUUAUUGUAGAUACAUAUGAUUUUUCAGACAGUUUUGCAUUGCCAACCAUGAAUACGGAAAAUAUCGGCUGAUGUCAUUGAUACAUAGCACACUGAUUAAAUGAAGUCAAAAUUUUAUAGCCAUGAUAAUAAAGGGAACUUUUAUUAGUUUUACAGUUUGAAAGGAGGCAAGAGGAACUUGUGAAAGAACUUCGGUAGAGGUGGUUAGAAGAUGAUGUAAAUGAACUUGGCUAGAGAUGGUGAGAGGAGAUACAAAGGCUCUUUAACUUACUAAUGAUAGGCCCAUCGAUGGGAAUUUUGACAAGACAACCGAUCCCAAAUGAUUGGGAAAGGCUAUGAUGAUGAUUAUAAUAAUGUCAAUCUUUUUAUUUUUUAUUUUUUUAAGGAGUAACAAAAAUUUUAUUAGAGGCCCACUUGCAAGCAAGACGGGAAACAAAAAAAAAAAAAAAAAACAUGAGGAGGUUCCCAAAAGGACUACAACCCUAAAACAAACACUAAAAGAUUGUGCAAAACAUUAAGAAUGGAAGCCCACUCAGAGACAAACUUUGACGAAAACCACUGCAUCGCUCGAUCCUGUAGUGUUCCGAAAUUGACGUUUAUUCUGCCACGCCCAAUCUGCCACCAAACAGCCGGCAAAAUCAAAUGCCAAAUAGUCCUACUGUACUUGAUUACACCUCCCCCAUGCCAAGCCCAAAGAAGAUAUUUAAUUGUCUUGGGCAUAACCCAAGAGCACCCGAAUAUGGCAAGCAAGUGCAACCAUAUUCUAAACAUAAAUGAUCAGAAAAUAAAGAUGUGAUCGAUGGAUUUGGCAUCUUGAUUGCAUAAAAAACACAAGUUCGAAAUAACCAUCCCGCACUUCUGAAGGUUAUCAACCGUCAACACUUUCUUCUACCCACCAACCAAGAGAAAGCGACCACCUUAGUCAGAGCUCCAUAGGACAAAAUGAUAAGCAUAAGACUCACCUGAAUUUGCCGAGGUCGAGCAUAACAUUUUAUCGGAGCUUACUAUGAAUUGCCCUGAACUAUGAUUGGUCCAUAUCAUAGAAUCUAGCUCAUCCGAAGGGGACCGAAAAUGGAUGCGAUCUAAUAGGGAUAGAAGCUCGGUCAUCUCGCUAUCUAAUAGGUUUCUUCUGCAAUGAGGCAUCCAAUGCGUUGAUGGCCCAUUGCUAUGGAAACAAUGUGCCACUUUCAAAUCUUCUGAUGUCGCAAGGUAGGAAAUUGAGAUUUAGAGACUGGUCUCCACACCAAGGGUCCUUCCAAAAUCUGAUACGAGUACCAUUACCCAAACUAAAUGAUAUGCCUUAAACUCGCCUCUCACCACUGAAAUUGACUCCCAUAUAUGAGAAGCCCGAUAGAGAGAAGACUCCACCUCCCGUCCCCCUUCCUUAAAUCCAUACUUACAAGCAACUAAUUCACUCCUAAUAAUGUCAAUCUUUGAAAUAGAAUUUCAAGAGGAUUGGAAAUAUAGGCAAAUCUAUGAAUCAACGAUAAUGACAGGAAUAAUUAGGAGAGGUUCUUGUCACUGACUUUGUCGCCUCGUGCCUUUCAUGUUUGCAAUUUGCAGGGGAGCAUAUUAGGGAUAUUUAAGUAGUAAGCAAAAAAAUAAUCCAUUGCGCAUGUCUAAAGAAAACCAUUAAGAAAUACUUGUGGUUAUAGGAACUAGUGUGAACAAUGAAAGGGUGCUCGAAGAUGCAUAUUGCUAGUAAUAGGCAUGCUAGAAUUGAAUAUGUCCACUCUCACUUGUGCAGUAGAUAAAACUUUUGUCAAUGGUUCCCAAGGAUGUGAAAGUGUGAACCACCUUUUCCUCCAUUGCCUGUUUGCUGCAUCUAUAUGGCAGUGGUGUCCUGCCAAUUGUUCGACUACUUUGGUUAUGCUUCUGGAGGGCAGACCUGGGGGGCAAAGGCAUGGUGUUGUGGAAUCUUUCUUGCAUUGCAAUUUUUGUGGUCAGUUUGGAAAGAAAGAACUAACUGGACAUUUAAUUGCAAAUACAAAUCAGUUAUCCAUGUCAUCAAAUAAGGUACUUUGUUAGUUCUUAGGCUAGGUCCUUAGAGAAGUUAUUGGGUUAUAGUAAGGAUGAUUACUAUAGCCAAUGGACCAUGUCCUGAUGUAGUAAGGGUGCUUGUCCCUUUUCUGGGUUGUAUUGUUUGCCUAUUUGGGCCUUUUCAUUUUUUUAACAAAAUAAAAAAUAAAAAAUUGCCAAUAAAAAAUUAAUCUUGGUAGCAUACCUUUCCUCCACUUUGAUAAAUUGGACUCAUUUACUUGCUAAUGCAGGACACAUGAUUUAAUGCUAGCAUGCAACGUGGAGAUUAUGAAAGAGUUCAUAAAGUUAUUCAAUUAACAAAAGAUGCUAACCUACCAAUUAAUUAAGAGUAAAUAAUAGGAAAUAAAAUCUGAUUUAACCUAAAUCACAUGCCCGCAUGCUAAAAAAUCACAUCAAUCAAUCAAAACUAGGAACGAUGGAAGGAUAGAACUUCCAAUUUAGCAUAGGCACGUUCUACACUCAAUGGACAGAUUUGUAGGUUUUAUGAUUAGGGUUAGGAAAGGGAAAAUUUUGAAAUUAGAAAAAUUAGGGUUCAUGGGAAUUGAGGAUUUUAGAAUUAGG